AACUAACAACACCUAAUCAGCCCACAUGUGUGUGUUUGCAGGUUUAUAGAACAAACAGCUCUCACCAUGAUUAUUUUUCUAACCAACGCCACAGAAAAAGACAUCACCACAGCUCAUAGGGUUCCAUGGACUGGUGCACAUGCUGCUCUAGCAUGGGAUCAUCAAUCAGAAAUAGAGGUUCCACGGUCCCUUCCCAAUCUGGGUGUGACUUAAAAUGCCAGAGCACGAAGGCUUUGGUGGAGAGUGCAGAGCUUGAUAUAAAGUAUUGUAAAGAUGUUCGGAGAUGAAGCAAAUCAGCUAUAGGGAACGUCAUUUGAUCAGGUUGGUUUUGCAUCCAUUACCUUCAUGUAAAGAGUCAUUUCGAAGAUUUAUAGUUAUUUUAUAGCAUUAUAAAUCUAUCUUAUUUGAAUUUUCUUGCUUGUUUUUAAAGAAGAGCUUGAAUCAUUUCCUUCCCCUGUAUUUACAUUAAUGCAUUUGGCAGAUCCACAUCUAACAGCACAGAUGUCUAAGAUGUCAGGAGCGUUGAGCUUAAUGACAUCAUCAACCAAGGUGCAAAAUGUAAUCGUAACGCUCAUUGUCAACUAAAAUAUAGUGUAAAAAGUAAAAGGUACAUCAGAUCCCACUUGGAGACUAUUUCACACCAUUGGUUGCCAAUUUGCAAGUGUUUUCUCUUAGAUGCCCUGACUUCACCAAAAAGCACACACACUCCCUCUGGCAUGGUUGUCUGCAGCCAAAAGUUGCUCUUUUGUAUGCUAAGGCUGUAGUGCAACCACCCGAGAACUGGUUCAUUUUGCUGGACCCAGGCAGAUCCAAUUCAGAUGAUUUGUGAGGUUCAUUUUCAAGGACUCCCCUAAUAGCCAGUGGCCAAAUUUGAACAACUGGUUCCUGUAUGGCCUGUUAAAGAAACUGGGAAUUCAGUAAAGGUAAUUCUUCUUUCAUACAUUCUAGCUCUCAGUCCCACAGUGAAAUCACUGAGAAUACCAUUAAGUACACUAGUUUACAAUCAAACAUCUGGAACAUCACUGAUAAGUAACAUUCAAAGGUAAAGCAAUACUGCAGUACUUUAACUGGAGUAACCAAACAUACUAUUUCCUAAAAUAUCUCACCAAGGUAGUCAAAUAGUUGUGUAUAAUUAUUUAUCAUCAUAAAUAAUAAAAAACACUGUUAUUUCUAUUUACUGAUAUAAAUAGUCGAGUGCUCAUGCUACCUGAGGUCACUCUGCACCAGGAUCUACAAGUUUAAAAAGCCCUUAAAAGUGUGUUGAUAACCUUAAAAUGACCUUUUCAUCCACACCAGCCAAGUGGUCUGUUGAAAUGUGGGAAAGUGAACACUGGUUUAUAGAUGUUACAUUUAUGGCAUUUGGCAGACGCACUUUUCCAGAGAAUUACAGCCCAGGAGCGGCAGAUUGGUGUGGCUGGGAUUUGAACUCGUGACCUUCAGAUACAAAGUCCAAUGUCUUAAACACUAAACCAUCACCUCACCAUGUUAUUAACUCUAUAAACUUUGGAUAUCUAUCAGGAAGUGGUUCAGAGCGGCACUAAUCACACUUUAACUUGUAGGGGCACAACAACAACAACAACAAAACAACCCCGAAAAACUGCAGAAAAAACACAAUAAAAAAUAGAAAAUACAAAUUAGAGGUUCUGGGAAACUAAGAAUGUUGAGAAGUUUGUGUCUGAAAAAUAAAAAUAAAAAGAUGAACAAAAUGCAGUAAAUUAAACAAAAUAUGAACGAAUUAUCUUUUAUCUUACUGCUGUUUAUUGUGUUAAUCAUUCCUUUUUUUAUUAUUAACAUAUUAACAUAUUAACCCAUCAUUGUAAAGCUUAGUAUUUUUAAGUACAUUUUCCAAGCAAAUCAAAGUUCUAAACAAAUUCCUCACUUGUCCUCUACACUAAUAAUAAUAAUAAUAAUAAUAAUAAUAAUAAUAAUAUUUAUCGUAACUAUAUACUGUAUAUCAUAAUAACUGUAAUUAAAUAUGGUGAUUACUGUAAGAUAAAUAAACUUCCACGCCUCUUUGUCUUUCAUUUGUUCCGAGGAUAAGGAUUUCCUCUUCGGCAUUUCCCACACACUGGGCAGAGCUUAAUAAUGUCAAUAUUUAAUUCCAUUGAAUUCAAUCCAUUUUUUGAAUCAUCUGUAGGGGCGCUUUUAACAUUUCUACAUUGUCUCAAAGCAGCUUUACGGAGAUAAACUGGUUAUAAAAAAGUUUAGUGCCUAUACGUUUGUUUCGUAUCAUUUUAAUUGUUUACUAAUAACUGAGCAAGUGUGGAAAGAAAAAAGACUCCCUGAGAUGGCAUGAGGAAGAAACC